rnacentral:rRNA from 1 species
ACCGAUAAGAACGAGACCUUAACCUGCUAAAUAGCCAGGCCGGCUUCGGCUGGUCGCCGGCUUCUUAGAGGGACUGUCAGCGUCUAGCUGACGGAAGUUUGAGGCAAUAACAGGUCUGUGAUGCCCUUAGAUGUUCUGGGCCGCACGCGCGCUACACUGACAGGGCCAGCGAGUAUUUCACCUUGGCCGGAAGGUCUGGGUAAUCUUGUGAAACCCUGUCGUGCUGGGGAUAGAGCAUUGCAAUG